UGUGUUCUAACCCCACAACUCAUUUGUAUCAACUCUGGAUGGCAAACCUAUCUAGCACCUGACACCAUGCUGGGUGAUCAAAGACGAUUAUGACAAGCACUUGAUUUAUAGGCACCAAACACAUAAAAAAUAAUUACAACAUGAUAAUGUAUGCUGUAACAGAGACCUUUAAAAAUUACCAUGGAAACAGGAAGAGCAAGAGUUUGCCAGGGGAGUUCAGCGAGGCUUCCACUGGAUCUGGGUGCUGAAAGACUAGCAGGCAUUCCUGGGGUGGGGGAAGAAUGGAUGGGCAUUCCACGUAAAGAACAAGAUGUGCUGAGGUGCAUAAAAGUGAGUGAACUCGGGGAAUUCAGCGUGGCAGUAGGAGAGAUGGGGAAGAGACAGCACUGCGAAGAUGUGACAGGCUAGCUACCUGAACUCCUUUCUACAUCAAUGCCCAUUAGCUGAGAGUGGCCAGGAAAGCAGGCCUUUACACUUAGCUCCAGAGUGAUCAUCUGAUGGAGCCGCAGUGGGUACUGAGUUCUUAAGUCUUUCAAAUGCAAAUGAUGCUGGGGUACAAACAAGACUGUAAGAACAGUAGCUGAAUUCACCUAUUUGCUGAAUUUUCAAGCCAGGACCCCAUGCUGAAGAGGGCACACAGAAGGAGAGGUCAACCAGGCAUGGUGGCUCAUGCCUAUAAUCCCAGCACUUUGGGAAGUCAAAGCAGGAGGAUCGCAUGAGCCCUAGGAGUUUGAGACCAGCCUGGGCAACAAAGGGAGACACCUUCUCAAGAAAUAAAAAAAGAAGGGGAGGAGCAGUAAACAAGUUCUGAUGUUGAAUUGCCAUACACUCUCAAGCCUAGAUGGGCAAUUUGGCCCCCUGGUGGGACAUGAACAUUGGACCAGCAUCUGUCAACAUCCUCACAUCUUUCAGCACCAGCACUGAACUCCACACUGCGUCUUUAAAGCAGAGAACAAGUCAAGGGGCUAUAGAGCCGGACUGUCUUCAUCUUCCGCCCCGACUGACCCUUCACCUCUGAACUACUCUGCUGUAACAGCAAGUAUUUACAGGAAAACACUACAACAUGAAACACAAGGCUUGUCAGAUUUGCAUUCACAUUUUCCUUUUCUCACUCUAUUCAAGCUCUGCAAAUGUCCAAUAGGUUGAUUCCUUCCAUAAGUGAUUUUCCCAAAAGAUAUUAUCUUUCUAAUUGGGAAAUCAAGAAGCCUGUAGAAAUCUACAACAUGGCUAAAAGUUAGAAUCACAUGCACUCAAUCCAGACACUGAGAAACACUUCCACUGACCUGCAUGAAAAAUGCCCACUCUAGCUCUGUGACCUUAAACCAGUAACUUCACCUCUCUGGACUUCAGUUUCAUUGGUGAUUUGUCUCUUUUAACUACAACAUUUCAAAAUGGGUUUUGAUAACCACUGUGGAAAGUCCCCCCCAGAGUUCUUUUCUAAUUUUUAUUGGCUUUAUGUAUAAGUCCAGCUGAAUUAUAACUUAGAGAAUAACUUGCCAAAUUCUGUUUAAAGUAUUCGGGAGUUUUUAUCAGAAGUUCAUUUAAUGUUUAAAUAAAUCUGAAGAAAAGAGACAACUUUACAAUAUCCAUCCACAGGAAUACAGUCGGUAUUUCCAUUUACUCAGGUCUUUUCUUUCUUUCUUUUUUUUUUUUUUGAAACAGGUUCUUGCUCUUAACGUCCAGACUGAAGUAUAGUGGUGUGAUCACAGCCCACUGCAGCCUCGACCUCCCAGGCUCAAGUGAUCCUCCCACCUCAGCCUCCAGAAAAACUGGAACUUCAGCCGCACGUCACCAUGCCCAGUUAAUUCUCUGGGUAUUUUUUGUUGAGCCAGGGUCUCAUCAUGUUGCCCAGGCUGGUCUCGAACUCCUGGCCUCGAGCAAUCCACAGAUGUUGGCCUCCAAAAGUGCUGGGAUCACAGUCGUCAGCCACUGCGCCAGAUGGAGUCUCACUCUGUUGCCCAGACUGGAGUGCAGGGCACAAUCUUGGCUCACUGCUACCUCCACCUCCCAGUUUCAAGCGAUUCUCCUGCCUCAGCCUCCUGAGCAGCUGGAACUGCAGGCACACGCCACCAUACCUGGCUAAUUUUUGUAUUUUUAGUAGAGAUGGGGUUUCACCAUGUUGACCUGCCUGGUCUCAAACUCCUGACCUCAGAUGAUCCACGUGCCACAGUCUCCCAAAGUGCUGGGAUUACAAGCAUGAGCCACCGCACCCAGCCAUAUUUUUUUCAAUAAAAUUAAAAC